rnacentral:lncRNA from 1 species
CCUCUGUGAGAAGUUGUGUGACAGACAGCACUGACCAAGGAGCAGGGUGGAGAAGAAAGUCCCCAAGUGAUCCAGCUUUUAGCCUCUCAGAAAAGAACUUUAGAUCACAUCCCUCACCUGGGAAAUGAGACACUCUGGACACCCUGAGGGCUUCCCUCCAACCCUGACUACAAAGUGAAGCAUCCAGCUUUUACCCUACGGAGCAGGCCCACACCCUCUGAGUGAGCUGCCCCAGGGAAGCGGUGUGCAGCCGCAUGGAGAGAGGUUUCUCUGGGGAUCUUCUCAGCCUGUGUUCCUACCAUAUACAGGCACUAAGCUUCAUUGUAUGGGAAUGGGCUGACUUCUGCAUACCUUAGAGCCAAGUUUUGGAGAGUAGUCAUAGGAGCAAGCUGUAGGCUGACAAGCUGGCCAUCUGUGGACCCCUAAACAAUAUAAUGCAACAGAGAAACUUUCUCCCCCAAACACUGCGGCCACCCGACAUCUGCACACCGAGGCGCUAACACAUAGCGUUAACUCAUAGAGGCACAACGACACAGUGAUGCUCCACAUCUGACAUUGAUGACACGGAACAACAGCAGUUCUUGGAAUGUACUCUCCCUACAAGAAAGAACAGCAACAGAUAAAACAGUCGUCUGCUCGGGCAAAUUUCUCAUGGAUCAUUGAUGCUGUAAACAAGCUAGCCAUGCAUCAUCUCCAUCCACCCAGCGGACGCUCCACCCACCCAGCGGACGCUCCACCCACCCAGUGGACGCUCCAUCCAUCCAGCGGACGCUCUACCCACCCAGAGGAUGCUCCUUGUGUCCUUCAGCUGCUAACGGAACUGAAGAAUAAAAUGAAACCAAUCAGAAAUAUUCAGUUAUUGAGUCACGAAAGCUUCAGGCAGCACUAAAAAGAGAGAAAAUUAGAUAAAGAAGAGUGGGUCUCAAACAGGCUCAAGAGAGGGACCUCAGUGUGGUUCUAGCCAAAGUCAGAGUUCAUGACCAUCCAACUCCAGCUCCAUGGGGUCCCACACCCCAGCCUCACUGACAGCUGCAUUCAUACCCACAUGCACACAUGCACAC